CCUCUCUCUAAGACAGAAGAGAGUGCAGAGGGCUGGAACACUCAGCUAUAGAUCUCCACAUUCCUUCUGCCCGUCAGACUCUGCCACUUGCCCCUUACCGGGGAAAGAUUGACACUAACCAACCAGCCAUCCUACCAAGCCUCAUUUUAAAGAAACUGAGGCACCGAGAGGUUGAGCAACUUGCUGGAGUCACACAGCUAGGACAUGAGUCAGUGGAGCCCAGGCAUCUGAGUCCUCCUCUCCUAGGGAUAGCGAUUUGUUGUGUUGCCCCUGGAGCUUAACAGUUAGUCACCCAGGAACAGCAGUCAUGCUCCUGUGUUAUGGUGACUGUUAUCUGUCCUCUUCACUUCUCAUUCAGGAGCUGACAUUGACGACACAGCUCCAGGAAGGUCAGCUGGCCCCAGGCUCAGCAGGGUGCAAGGACACACAGAAGGAAGAGCUAAGCUCUAAUUUCCUGACUGACUGGAGCCCUCAAAGGCUGCAAGAGGCAGCCGCCACAGAUGCUUGUUGCCCUUGCUGCAAGCCCCUAGCUCGGUCCUGGUUCUGAGGAGGUCUAGUGGAGCCUCUCCUACCCUGCAGAUGAAGAAGGGGAAUGGCUGGACGGCUGGAUCCACUGACCUGGUCCCGGCUGGCCAUCUCUCAGUGCAGACUGUUCCCAAAGCUGAAAACCGGUUUCUGCAACAUCUGGACUCAGAGCCUAAGGGAUGGUGGCUGGGGCUCCAGCCCUGCACUCCCCCAGAGGCAGUGCCUGCCUCCCAGCCAAUCCCCAGGGACAAUGCAUUUUGCUGGAAAAUUUCAAACAUAUCUUGGGUGACUGGGGCAGAAACCUGCUGGCACCUUUCCUCACUGCGGAAUGGCAGAGAGGGAAACUGA